rnacentral:rRNA from 1 species
AGCUUAGUUGCCAUCAUUAAGUUGGGCACUCUAAGUUGACUGCCGGUGACAAACCGGAGGAAGGUGGGGAUGACGUCAAAUCAUCAUGCCCCUUAUGAUUUGGGCUACACACGUGCUACAAUGGACAAUACAAAGGGCAGCGAAACCGCGAGGUCAAGCAAAUCCCAUAAAGUUGUUCUCAGUUCGGAUUGUAGUCUGCAACUCGACUACAUGAAGCUGGAAUCGCUAGUAAUCGUAGAUCAGCAUGCUACGGUGAAUACGUUCCCGGGUCUUGUACACACCGCCCGUCACACCACGAGAGUUUGUAACACCCGAAGCCGGUGGAGUAACCUUUUAGGAGCUAGCCGUCGAAGGUGGGACAAAUGAUUGGGGUGAAGUCGUAACAAGGUAGCCGUAUCGGAAGGUGCGGCUGGAUCACCUCCUUU